AGAGCGAACGCUGGCGGCAUGCUUAACACAUGCAAGUCGCACGAUCGGGGGUAACUCCGGUAGUGGCGGACGGGUGAGUAACGCGUAGGUAUCUAUCCUUGGGUGGGGGACAACCACGGGAAACUGUGGCUAAUACCGCAUGACGACUGAGGUCCAAAGGCCGAAAGGUCGCCUGAGGAGGAGCCUGCGUCCGAUUAGCUUGUUGGUGGGGUAAUGGCCUACCAAGGCUGCGAUCGGUAGCUGGUCUGAGAGGAUGAUCAGCCACAUUGGGACUGAGACACGGCCCAAACUCCUACGGGAGGCAGCAGUGGGGAAUAUUGGACAAUGGGCGAAAGCCUGAUCCAGCAAUGCCGCGUGUGUGAAGAAGGUCUUCGGAUUGUAAAGCACUUUCGACGGGGACGAUGAUGACGGUACCCGUAGAAGACGCCCGGCUAACUUCGUGCCAGCAGCCGC
rnacentral:rRNA from 1 species